GCCUUGGUGGUGGAAUGGUAGACACGCGAGACUCAAAAUCUCGUGCUAAAGAGCGCGGAGGUUCGAGUCCUCUUCAAGGCA
rnacentral:tRNA from 1 species